rnacentral:tRNA from 1 species
GGGAUUAUAGCUCAAUGGUAGAGCAUUUGCCUGGUAUGCGUGGUCCUUAGUUCAACUUCCAGUACUGCAA